GACGAACGCUGGCGGCGUGCUUAACACAUGCAAGUCGAGCGGUAAGGCCCCUUCGGGGGUACACGAGCGGCGAACGGGUGAGUAACACGUGAGCAACCUGCCCUUCACAUCGGGAUAACCCCCGGGAAACCGGGGCUAAUACCGGAUACGACCACCGACGGCAUCGUCUGGUGGUGGAAAGUUCCGGCGGUGGAGGAUGGGCUCGCGGCCUAUCAGCUUGUUGGUGGGGUAACGGCCCACCAAGGCGACGACGGGUAGCCGGCCUGAGAGGGUGACCGGCCACACUGGGACUGAGACACGGCCCAGACUCCUACGGGAGGCAGCAGUGGGGAAUAUUGGACAAUGGGCGAAAGCCUGAUCCAGCAACGCCGCGUGAGGGAUGACGGCC
rnacentral:rRNA from 1 species